UUCAUUCGGCUAUAAUACCUAACUGAUUUUGGAUUUUAUUUUUGUGCUUUUGACUCAUUUUGUGAUUGGUACGCUAACCGGAAGUAGCAUUUUUUGAACAUAACUGCGCAGUUAAAUUAAUGACUUUUCCCAAGGAAUACUGCAUUGAAAGAUCCAUAUGAUUAUUUGGUUAUUUAAAGGAUGUAUUAUUUUAAUGGUUUACCGGUGAGCUGAUUUGAAUUAAUGUUUGAAUUUGAUUUGUUGUUGAUUGUUGUUCUGGCUCUUAUAGGUCAGUUUUUUUCUACCUUCAAAUGAAAACUGAAUAGAACAGAUGGCGAGCUGGUGGGACUUUUCUUUAAUUCCAGAUAUGUGGUGCGUAGAAGCUGAAUGCUGCUUUUCCAUAUUUGUUUCUGGCUCUGGGGAUUCACACCAGACCAGAACUCAUGGCAGAACCACAUUAGCUUAUGUUUGCUGACUAUCUCUGAAGGGAAAGGACUAAUGUGAAGUUGUGCGGUGAGUUUGAAAUUUUGUUAAAAAGAAUGAAAUUUUAUCCUUGACUAUCGAAUGCUAAUCGAACCUGGUCUCUAUUCAUCCCUCAGCAGACCAUUUGGCUGAGCUAACUGCUUAGUAAUUAAUCGUGUUAAUUUGUUUUUUUUCCCCAACAGAUUUAUUAUCCUACAAAAUCCUACCUGGUGACAACUUUAGAAAAAUUCAGAGACUGGUUUCAUCCAGAAGGAGAUGCUAUAGGGAAUUUUAUGCACUUGUUUUUAAGGACAUUUAUUCUUCACAUGAAAUGUUUUCAUUCUCUGAUUUUUGUAUGCUUUGUUGCUCUUUUACACAGAUAAUGAAUAAAGAAUGAAGUUGAGAAAAGGCAGGAAGAAGAAACUGACCCACAUUCUCCUGGGAAUUUUCCAACAUAUAAUUGGUAUUCAGUCUGCAGAAGAAAGGUUGAAUGCAUUACCUCACAUGUGGAGCUCAGCAUAAAUACACAAAAUGUGACAAAUACACACACAUGCAUUGUUUUGUAAU